rnacentral:rRNA from 1 species
UACGGAGGGUGCAAGCGUCGUUCGGAAUUACUGGGCGUAAAGGGCGCGUAGGCGGUCUGCUCAGUCAGAUGUGAAAGUCCAUGGCUCAACCGUGGAAGUGCAUUUGAUACUGGCAGACUCGAGGAUGGUAGGGGUGAGUGGAACUCCAGGUGGAGCGGUGAAAUGCGUAGAUAUCUGGAGGAACACCGGUGGCGAAAGCGGCGUGCUGGACCUUUUCUGACGCUGAGGCGCGAAAGCUAGGGGAGCAAACGGG